rnacentral:rRNA from 1 species
AACGAACGCUGGCGGCAGGCCUAACACAUGCAAGUCGAGCGGACCUUUCGGGGUCAGCGGCGGACGGGUGAGUAACGCGUGGGAAUAUGCCCUUCUCUACGGAAUAGUCCUGGGAAACUGGGGGUAAUACCGUAUACGCCCUUUGGGGGAAAGAUUUAUCGGGGAAGGAUUAGCCCGCGUUGGAUUAGGUAGUUGGUGGGGUAAUGGCCUACCAAGCCGACGAUCCAUAGCUGGUUUGAGAGGAUGAUCAGCCACACUGGGACUGAGACACGGCCCAGACUCCUACGGGAGGCAGCAGUGGGGAAUCUUAGACAAUGGGGGCAACCCUGAUCUAGCCAUGCCGCGUGAGUGAUGAAGGCCUUAGGGUUGUAAAGCUCUUUCGGCUGGGAAGAUAAUGACGGUACCAGCAGAAGAAGCCCCGGCUAACUCCGUG